rnacentral:rRNA from 1 species
GACGAACGCUGGCGGCGUGCUUAACACAUGCAAGUCGAACGGAAAGGCCCUGCUUUUGUGGGGCGCUCGAGUGGCGAACGCGUGAGUAACACGUGAGUAACCUGCCCUUGACUUUGGGAUAACUUCAGGAAACUGGGGCUAAUACCGGAUAUGAGCUCCUGCUGCAUGGUGGUGGUUGGAAAGAUUCGGCUGUUGGGGAUGGACUCGCGGCUUAUCAGCUUGUUAGUGUGGUAGUGGCUUACCAAGUCUUUGACGGGUAGCCCGCCUGGGAGGGUGAACGGCGACCAGGGUCCUGAGGUACGGAGCAGUCGCCUACGGGAGGCAACAGUGGAGAACAUUGCAGAGUGGGCGGAAGCGUGAUACGGAAAUGCUGCGUGCGGAAUGCUGGCCUUUGGGUUGUAAACCGAUGUGUCCUGUAACGAACCGGGAGUGACGGUACUUGGUCAAAAAGCAACGGCUAACUACGUG